AUGCGUGCGAGUGCGACGAUGCCAUUCCGCAGAGACGAAUCGAUCCAACGCGAUGGAAACCGGGCCAUGCAUGCACUCCAUCAAGUACGCACGUCCCGUCCCGUCCCGUCUUCAACCCGUCGGUUCACGCCGACGUACGUUCCCAAACUGUCAUCCGAACGAACAUCUGAACAAAUGGAAGCCCUUGCGUACGUCGAUGCUGCCUGCCUGGCCAAAUCCCGUCGGCGACGAGAAAAGCCAUGGAUUCCGCGUGCGUGCAUGCAGCAGCAGCCCGUGGAUCUCGCCCGCGCCGGCGCAUGCAUGCAUGUGCGUUCGUCCGACGCACCGCGCCGCGCCUAUCUCUCGCGCGCGCUAUCGGUCUCCGGCAGAGUUGCGUCCCGGCGGCUCCAACCGUGCCGUUGCCGGCCGCAUCGCCGUGUUGCCGGGCGAAAAGGAUGGCAGCUUUAA
rnacentral:rRNA from 1 species